GGGGGUAUAGUUCACUGGUGGAGCACUUGCCUAGUAUGUGUGAAGACCUAGUUUCAAUUUCUAGUACCACCA
rnacentral:tRNA from 1 species